rnacentral:lncRNA from 1 species
UCGCCCCGCCACAUAGUAUUCUUCCAGAAUGGAGUGUGGCGUCAUCUGUUGACAAAAAAAACGGAUAACAUCCUGAACAUAUGCUUUGCAUGUCUCGUCGGCGUGUUGACAACAGCAAUUUAAUUCUUAUUGUGCACGAACGUGAGCUCAUCGGACGAACCAAAGGCCUCCUUAAAGGCAGUAACGAAAUCACUCAAGCUACGAAGAUCAGGUUCCACGUUGUUAAACCAAACUCGGGCAGUCCCGGCCAGUGCGAAGGCGACACUGGCCAGACGGGUGUCAUCAUCCUAACUGUUGUAACGUCUGGUACGUUGGUAGUAGCGAAGCCACUCUGUGGGUUUUCCUCCGGCGUUCCAUGAAAGUGUGACGGAAGGCGAGGAGGAACAUUCCGUGGAGUGGGUUGAUAACCCCCUGAGAACUCAUAUUGUUCGACUCAAACCCAAAUCGUCGGACCCGGUUCUAGCAGUUAGAGGACCAAACGGAGGGAAAAUUCUGUAUAGCCGAAGACUACGACCGAACUGCCCACAUAGGUCGUCAAUGCUGUUCGGUUCCGACCCUUCAACGAUAAUCGGCGUCUCCACCAAUGUUACAGAAUUAUAGAUCACAGUCAAAUGAAAGAACAAACUUGAUUUACCUGGACGAGGGUUCUACACGUCGGUCGAUUCACUCAUCGGAAUCCAACAUAACAAAAAGAAGGAAACCAACACACACACAUUAUCGUUGCCCGCUCUGACCCUUCUAACCGGCCAACCACCAAAAAACCUCUUCUCUGGAUCCUUUAUUCUCGGUCCCCAGGGGGGCGGUAAUUAUCUCGCGGCAAUAUUAUGCAGAAGGCGCUGCAGAAUGUAAACAAUGCAUUACUGAGAGAAAACGAAGAUAUAUUUCUUGAAUUAUGCGCUACCAAGAAAGUCAAUUAUCUGAAAUAUAUGUAAUUAAUAGAAUAAUUGAACAUGAUUUGAAAGAAAAAC